AUGGGCACUGAUGAAGCUUACCCGAAAGGGCAGUACAGUUGCGAGUACAUCCCGCAAGGGUGCGCGCUGAAGCAGCAAAAUCCAAUGGAUCCUUCUGAGCUCGU
rnacentral:snoRNA from 1 species